rnacentral:lncRNA from 1 species
ACAGCUGACCCCAGCCUCCACCCUCACUGUCACUCUGCUCUUUGGCUCCCACUCUCCUGCCACCCCUUGUGAAUAUUCAGGUGCCAGGGCCCUCUCCAUCUCAGCAUCUCUACUCACCCUGCAAAGCCCCUUCAGCCACAGGAAGUCACACAUCCACAGAUUCCGGGGACUAGGGUGUGGACAUUUUGGGGGAGCCAUGAUGCUGCCUCCCACACCUCCAUACGAACAUAUCACAGCCCAGACAGAUUCUCCUGCAGCCUGCAGCCUGGAAUGCAAAGGCCAGUGGGGCCAAAUCAGCUGAGCUGAGCUGAGCCAGCAGAGCCGCACGCAGCAGCUGCCCGGUGAGCAGCUGGGAACCGCUGAGAAAUGGAGAUGUUUGUCACAGCAGCAGCAGCUGGCAGAUACUUGCUAUCCACAUACCCUGGGCACACAUGGGCACCAAGGCUGGGGGCAACAGAGCUUUACACCCCGGGGUUCUCGCCUGACAGCCAAGAAGGGGGUUUUCCCUUCUACCGCCAAGAACAUCCCCCAAGGCCUCCCCACAUCUAAUAAUCAGGAAGAUAACGUGGUCAUCAACAAUGAAAGCUGCCCAGGCAGGCGCCUGCA